rnacentral:sRNA from 1 species
GUGAGGCGGCCCGAAAUCGUAGGACUUCCGAAAGCAGCGGCGGCGUUUGCUUCACUGCUUGGAAGUGUGAGUGCGCGAAGAUGCGAAAGGUGGUUUUGAUCACCGGGGCUAGCAGGUCAACUUGACACAGUUUUCUGAACCAGAGAGAAAUGCCUGUACCUGAUGCCAUCCCAGAUAACCCACAUCUUGUGUCUGAAUUGUCCUCCCAGUGGCAUUGGCCUGGCCCUCUGCAAGCGGCUGCUGGCGGAAGAUGAUGAGCUUCAUCUGUGUUUGGCGUGCAGGAACAUGAGCAAGGCAGAAGCUGUCUGUGCUGCUCUGCUGGCCUCUCACCCCACUGCUGAGGUCACCAUUGUCCAGGUGGAUGUCAGCAACCUGCAGUCGGUCUUCCGGGCCUCCAAGGAACUUAAGCAAAGGAUGAUCAAGAAAUGGUUGUAUGUGAUCUGUGUUGAAGACCAUGUUUCAGAGAUUAGACUGUAUAUAUCUAAAUGCUGGGAUCAUGCCUAAUCCACAACUAAAUAUCAAAGCACUUUUCUUUGGCCUCUUUUCAAGAAAAGUGAUUCAUAUGUUCUCCACAGCUGAAGGCCUGCUGACCCAGGGUGAUAAGAUCACUGCUGAUGGACUUCAGGAGGUGUUUGAGACCAAUGUCUUUGGCCAUUUUAUCCUGAUUCGGGAACUGGAGCCUCUCCUCUGUCACAGUGACAAUCCAUCUCAGCUCAUCUGGACAUCGUCUCGCAAUGCAAGGAAAUCUAAUUUCAGCCUCGAGGACUUCCAGCACAGCAAAGGCAAGGAACCCUACAGCUCUUCCAAAUAUGCCACUGACCUUUUGAGUGUGGCUUUGAACAGGAACUUCAACCAGCAG